rnacentral:misc_RNA from 1 species
GAAAUGCGAUAAGUAAUGUGAAUUGCAGAAUUCAGUGAAUCAUCGAAUCUUUAAACGCACAUUGCGCCCCCUGGUAUUCCGGGGGGCAUGCCUGUUCGAGCGUCAUUUCACCACUCAAGCCUCGCUUGGUAUUGGGCGACGCGGUCCGCCGCGCGCCUCAAAUCGACCGGCUGGGUCUUUCGUCCCCUCAGCGUUGUGGAAACUAUUCGCUAAAGGGUGCCGCGGGAGGCCACGCCGUAAAACAACCCCAUUUCUAAGGUUGACCUCGGAUCAGGUAGGGAUACCCGCUGAACUUAAGC